CACAUUGGCAAUCUGCCCCGAAGUUCAGCAUAACCCUUCGAAAGAGGGGAUAAUACUGGAUGUGUUCGUCUAUCAUAUGGUAGACGAGUAAAGAUUUAUCGCUUCGGGAUGGGCCUAUGGCUUAUCAGCUUGUUGGUAGUGUAAAAGACUACCAAGGCUAUGACGAGUAGCGGGUGUGAGAGCACGACCCGCCUCACUGGGACUGAGACACUGCCCAG
rnacentral:rRNA from 1 species